AGACUUUGAACUUUUUACAUUUGAGUUAAUGCUGAAAUGACUUAAAACUUUCGGCAGCUUUUGAAAAGGGAUGAUUGCAUUUUACUCUGUGAGAAGGAUAUGAUAUUCGGGGGAUCAGGGUCAGAAUAAUAUGGUUUAGCUGUGUGUCCCUACCUAAACUCACAUGUAAUUGUAAUCCCGAAUGUUGCAGGUGGGGCCUGGUUGGAGGUGAUUUAUUCAUGGAUUGGAGAGGUGUUGGAUUGGAAGUCAAAACAGGGACUCAUAUGCAGAAGAGUUUGCAGCCUUGUCUUGGAUGAGACUUGAACCUACUACAUUUGAGUUACUGCUGGAAUGAGUUAAGAAUUUUGGAAACUUUUGAAAAGGUAGGUUUGUACUUUUCUGUGUGAGAAGGACAAGAGAUGUGGGGGUGUCAGGGUCAGCAUAAUAUGGCUUGACUGUGUUUCCCUACAAAAACUCUUGGGGAAUUGUAUUCCUGACUGUUGUAGGUGGGGCCUGGUGGGAGGUGAUUUAAUCACAAACGGGAGGUUGGUAGGGGUGGAAGAGAAAACAAGUGGGUAGGGUGGGAAGGAGUAGGCUGGCAGUAGUGUGGUGAGAGUGUGGUGGGCAGUAGGAAGAGGGAGUAGCCUGGUGCAGAAUCAGAGGCUCAUGGAAAAGCUCUACCAGGGCAGUGCACUUGUGGCUUUGCAGGCUUUAGCCCCCAUGGCUGCCCUUGUGGGCUGGGCUGGUGUUGAGUGCCUGUGGCUGUUCCAUACUGAGAAUGCAAGCUGUUGGUGGGUCUAUGAAUCUGUGGUCUGGUGGAUGGUAACCUCCUGCGUGGGGCCUCCAAGCCCAUAUAUUUUUUCUGCAUUACCCCAGUAGAGGUUUUC
rnacentral:lncRNA from 1 species